rnacentral:lncRNA from 1 species
CAGCAGAUGGAGGAAGAACUUGUGAUGGAUACAGACACUCAGCACCAGCAUUGUUAAUGAGCCAGAAGUCUGGGCUUUGUGUCUGUGUACACCUCCAGGACCCAGGUGACAAUCUGGAAGCUGUACUCUGGCUUCCCAUCCUGUCCCCAUUGAAGCAGUUGGCCAAGAUGUCCCACCAGCAGCUGGGGAGGAGGGCUGUGUACCAGGAAGCUGACAGCACAGGCACUGAAUCUUCUGCUUUGGACCUUCCUUCUCACAGAACCUUCCAAAAGAGCAGGUCUGGAGACUUGCUAAAUUGGCAAGUCCUGGCAAUACUGGCAGGGAGUGAAGAGAGAAAUGUGAUCCCAGCAAUUCCAUCAGGAGUGAACAGAAGGCUUCCUCACAGCUGGAAGUAAUGUCUGAGUAAUCUUUCAAUUUAAACAGUACUUUUCAUGGGGAACCCACACACUCUGAAAUAAGAAUUAGGGUACAUUUCUGAGAAGGGAUCUGAGGAGAUGUAAAGUGGCUGAGAGGUUGGGAUUGUUGGGACUGUGUUGGGGGCUGGAAUAUAGUUGAAACCAGAGGUGCAUGUGUGUGUGAGUGUAUGUGUGUGCGUGUGUGUGUGCAUGGGUGCAGUGUCAAAGGAUAUUAUCCUUCCUAUUUUGCAGAUAAAUAAAUUAAGGCUAAAAGCCACUCACUUAACUUGAUGAAGCAUUGAACUAAAUGGGGAAAUGUUUUCCCCUGAGCAUCAUCUCUGCUGCAGUAAUGUCUUGUCUUCCCAGACCCACUGCAAAGCUUCUUGGGUCCAUACAACUUGUCAUUUGAGCUGCGUCUACAUAUGACAGUGACCUGUUCUCAUCACACCUCAGAAACCCUCCUAGGUAUGAGCCAGCAUUAUGAACUUCUUCUGAAAGAGCACUCACCUUGUUAUGAUGAAGUUUGUUUCCCUGCUGGACCCCAGCUCUGAACUGGGAGCUGCAUGCAUAUUUGUUUCAUGUUUAGACCCCGGGAUCUGGAACAAUCACAUUUUCACACCCUUGCUCUGUAUUUGAGAACCACUUUUCCCAUUCCCCACCCACAUCAGACCCAUUCCUCCGCUGGCCCACUCACAGUCCUACUUGGAAGCUUGUCUCAAUGGCCCAUCCUUCCUGGAUGUGGUGGCCCUGCCCAGGGACCCCAGAUAGCUGGACUUUCUCAUUCUGGUGGCAGCUUCCAGCUCGCACACACACCUCCCAGUGCUGGGCUAUGUUCUCCAGGAGGCCAGAGGCCCCAGUGCUCUGUCAGUGUUAGCUGAGUAGAUAAACAAAUGAUUCACCACUGUGUAGCCAUGAAUUCUUGGCAAGUCUUCCCACAUAAUAAGUUAAAUAUAUACAUUUUAAUAUGAGCUCCUUAAACAUUCAUUCACAUCCAACACAUUUAUACUGGGCUGACUUGUUCUGAACUCUGGUUGUUUCAAAUGCAAAAGAAAAGGAAACUAGUUUCAGCAUUGAGUAAAAAUUGCCUUACAGAUAUUAUCUAGAGAAUUUCUGAGGACAUGGAGAUGAGCAGGACUUAAAUACAGAGCAUUCCUUUCCUGUGCUCAUGAGAAGCAUCAAGUUUCAGGGCAUUAGCAGCUGCAAGUGUGAAAGAGUGUUAAAUCACUUAAUAGUUUGUUAUAUAUAUAAGUUGUUAAAAGCCAAUUAUGUGAAAAAAAGUCUACAUAUUUGAAUAAAAUUGAAUCCAUGAGCGCAAAAAAGCUAUUCUUUUCUUCUGGUAACUGACAUCCAGGAAAUCUAGGUUAUCAUCUCUGUGGCCUCUAUGAUCAGAAUGUGUUUCAUUCUGAUGUCCUUCCUUCCUUUAAUCAUUCAGUAACUCAUCCUGGUCCCUGUGCUGUGGGCUGAGGAGCCCAUGAAGCCAUCUUUUUGCUUCCCCUGGGGAAGACAUAAUAUUAAACAAAUAAGCUCACACAUCAGUUCAGAAAUUACACAUGAUGAUAAGUGCUCUGGCUGAGAAACAGUGGGUGACCCAUUUAAAUCAGGUGGUCCAGAAAAUGACACGCUAGAAAGAGAUCAUUGUCUGGACUCUUCAUUUUGUAGCUGGCAGGUGGAGGCCAGAUGGCUUAUGACUCAUGGUGAAGGCCAGUAAAAAAUGCGGGUGGAAUCUGUUUCCUUUCCCAAACACACAUCUGCACUAGAUAGCUGUGGGCAAGGCAUAGUUUUACCUUGCUUCUCUGGUUCACAUUCACAAAGAUGGAAUGAAUCUAGAUUACUGCUCAGGUCUUUCUACCCUUGAAUAGUCUGUGAACUUACUUUCUUAAAAUUACUCAAAUGGACACCCUUUGAAUGUUUUUCUUUUUUCCAAUGCCAUUGGGGACAUUCUUUUCAUCCUUUUAAUCUAUGUGAGC